UUGAAUUUUGAACACAAUUAAACAUCCCCCAAAUCAAUUUACCAUUCCAAAAUCAAAUUUCAUAUUCCACGCCUUAAACCUAACCCUUCAUUGAUUUCCCUUCCCUCCAUCUCUUAUCUCCGGGAAUGGUGACACCAUAGUAACCACACGGUGAACGGAAUAGUGCCACCGACUCAAGGUCUGCGAAGAGGAAGAAAAAUGGGAAGCCAUUGAGAAGCGACUUGAUUUUGGUCAGGAUGAAAAACUCAUCGAAGAGGCUCACAGGUGCUAUCUUAAACACCUGACUCUGGAAAACCUCUUUCUAUGACCGUGGGGUAUGGUGGGGCGGGGGUUUGGGGCAUGAAGGUGCUUAAUUUUUUUCAGUUAGACAAGGUGGUUACAUUUCUAUGUUAUUGCGGCUAAUUUAGUAUUUUGUGAAGGCCUAAUUAAAUCUUAGUGUAAUAGAUUUUAGCAUACUAUUAAACUCAUAUAUUUAAAACUCAAUUCCAGAUGAUUUUCCAUAUUGGCCCUAGCUUCUUAGCAAUUUUUAAAAACAAUUGUGUAUAUUGAUGGACUUUUUUACAAGGAGAAAAUUACUAGUAGCAAAUAUUGCCUCUGGCUGUGGUAUGAUAGAACUGCAUCGAAUGUAGGUCACUUUGGUAUCCACAUAAAUAUAGCAAAUGAUUAAUGGGUUGGACUGAGCUGUGAAGGUUAUGAAGAAACGAGAGUAGCUCUUCUAAUUUGCAUUAUAAUAAUAUUCAGUUUUACAGAGCUGGCUUAAGGACAUAGUGAACAUUUCACCUCUUCUUUGGUUAAGUUUUUAACUUGAUAUUAAUUGUGGUUAAGCAAUAUCUUGAUGGUGUAGAGAUAGGGCAGGAGGAUAGAGUGCUUCGAACUCCAAUAAGAGUUGGUGAUGCUGCACCAAUGGUAUAUAUUGACUGGAAACUAUGGCACGCUCAUUAGGAAAUGGGUUGAUUUAGGUUCAUAGACAGGGGAAAGCAAGCUUAGACAAUUAAAACCUUCGGCUCCACAACCAGCUCAAAGACCACCAUCGGAUCCUUGGCAAGAUCUCAGCUUAGCAGGAGUUUUGCAUCUCUUAAAGAAGUCAAAAGCUCAGAAGCAUCGGAAUAAACCUUCUGGUCACUGAAAUCAUCUCUGAGAUAUUAAAGCCAUCAACAUUUUCUUCGCUGAGGAUCAAGCUUAUCUUAGCACCACGUUUGCUUGCUGGAACAUAAGGUUAUACAACCCUAUUAUGUCACCAGGUGGAAUUGUCUGAAAAGGCUGACAUACAGUUUCAGAGUUGUGGUUCUUAAGAUCAUUUGCUGCAGGAGCUACUGAUCUUACACUUUCAUCCGAAUUGCAAUAUCUCCUAGAUUAUGUCAGUCCAACGUCAUUUUACUUGGCAAGGACCUAAUUGACCCGCAUGCAGAUAAAACAUGAGUUUUGAUUAGCUAAGACAUAAGGGCCAGCUAAUGGCCAAAAUGAAAACGGGAAGAGUUUUCCAAGGAAUGAGAUAAGGUUAUGUUGCAAGUGCUUCUAGAAGUGAUGUAUGUUGAGACAAAAAGUGUUGUUGUUGCAAGUGCUGCUAGGAUUGAUGCAAGUUUAUGUAUUUACAACUUAUGUAUGGAUUUUGGUUUAUUAUUGUUAAUAUUAUUAAUAUUAAUUUUGUUUUUUAGGUUUGUUCAUCUUUGCUAUUGUUUUAAUUCUACGAAAAAUUGAAAAUAAAAU
rnacentral:lncRNA from 1 species